UGAACCCGGGAGGCGGAGGUUGCAGUGAGCCGAGAUUGCGCCAUUGCACUCCAGCCUGGGUGACAGAGUGAGACUCUGUCUCAAAAAAAAAAAAAAAAAAAGGAUAAUUAUUUUAUUUAUUAUUUAUUUUUGAGAUGAGGUUUCACUCUGUGGCUCAGGCUGGAGUGCAGUGGCGUGAUCUUGGCUCACUACAACCUCUGCCUCCCGGAUUCA
rnacentral:pre_miRNA from 2 species